GUGAGUCAUCGAAUCUUUGAACGCACAUUGCGCCCGCCAGUAUUCUGGCGGGCAUGCCUGUCCGAGCGUCAUUUCAACCCUCAAGCCCCAGCGGCUUGGUGUUGGGGACCGGCGACCUCGCCGCACCUGGUGCAGGCGUCCGCCGCCCCCGAAAUGAAUUGGCGGCCCCGUCGCGGCCUCCUCUGCGUAGUAGCACAACCUCGCAACAGGAGCGCGACGCGGCCACUGCCGUAAAACGCCCAACUUUUUUAGAGUUGACCUCGGAUCAGGUAGGAAUACCCGCUGAACUUAAGCAUAUCAAUAAGCGGAGGA
rnacentral:misc_RNA from 1 species